rnacentral:rRNA from 1 species
CCUACGGGGGGCAGCAGUGGGGAAUAUUGGGCAAUGGGCGCAAGCCUGACCCAGCAAUGCCGCGUGAAGGAAGAAGGCUUUCGGGUUGUAAACUUCUUUGACCGGGGAAGAGCAGAAGACGGUACCCUGAAAACAAGCCACGGCUAACUACGUGCCAGCAGCCGCGGUAAUACGUAGGGGGCAAGCGUUAUCCGGAUUUACUGGGUGUAAAGGGAGCGUAGACGGCCAGACAAGUCUGAAAUGAAAAUCCAGCGCUUAACGUUGGAAGUGCUUUGGAAACUGCCGGGCUAGAGUGCAGGAGGGGG